rnacentral:rRNA from 1 species
CGGGGUGCAGCAGGCGCGAAAACUUUACAAUGCGGGAAACCGUGAUAAGGGGACACCGAGUGCCAGCAUCAUAUGCUGGCUGUCCGGGUGUGUAAAAUACACCCGUUAGCAAGGGCCGGGCAAGACCGGUGCCAGCCGCCGCGGUAACACCGGCGGCCCGAGUGGUGAUCGUGAUUAUUGGGUCUAAAGGGUCCGUAGCCGGUUUGGUCAGUCCUCCGGGAAAUCUGACGGCUUAACCGUUAGGCUUUCGGGGGAUACUGCCAGGCUUGGAACCGGGAGAGGUAAGAGGUACUACAGGGGUAGGAGUGAAAUCUUGUAAUCCCUGUGAGACCACCUGUGGCGAAGGCGUCUUACCAGAACGGGUUCGACGGUGAGGGACGAAAGCUGGGGGCACGAACCGGAUUAGAUACCCGGGUAGUCCCAGCCGUAAACGAUGCUCGCUAGGUGUCAGGCAUGGCGCGACCGUGUCUGGUGCCGCAGGGAAGCCGUGAAGCGAGCCACCUGGGAAGUACGGCCGCAAGGCUGAAACUUAAAGGAAUUGGCGGGGGAGC